UUGAGCCUACGGGGGGCAGCAGUGAGGAAUAUUGGUCAAUGGGCGGGAGCCUGAACCAGCCAAGUCGCGUGAGGGACGACGGUCCUAUGGAUUGUAAACCUCUUUUGUCGGGGAACAAAGGCGCCCACGGGUGGGCGGAUGAGUGUACCCGAAGAAAAAGCAUCGGCUAACUCCGUGCCAGCAGCCGCGGUAAUACGUAGGGUGCGAGCGUUAAUCGGAAUUACUGGGCGUAAAGGGUGUGCAGGCGGCUGAGUAAGACAGAUGUGAAAUCCCCGGGCUUAACCUGGGAACCGCAUAUGUGACUG
rnacentral:rRNA from 1 species